rnacentral:tmRNA from 1 species
GGGGGUGACAUGGUUUCGACUUUGAGGGUUGAAGCGUCGGAAGCGAGCCGAGGUCCCCGGAGUCCUCGUUAAAGAGCCGGGAAACAAUACAAGUGCCGAAGACAACUUCGCACUGGCUGCUUAACAAUGCAGCUCGUCCGUCUGGAGGGUUCCCCUCUCACCAGGUCCGGGCGUCGCAAUAGGGGACGCUCCCGCCGGGAUUGCCGGGACCGGCGGGUCAAGACCACUCCGGCUAGGGCGCAGGACCACCCGCCGAUAGGGCCCUGCGUUCCGAAGCUCGCUAUCGGCUGCGCUCGGAGAUGCCGACGCUGAAACCUCAUGGGACGGGGGUUCGAUUCCCCCCACCUCCACCG